rnacentral:lncRNA from 1 species
CGGGGGUCCACUAACUCACACCUACUUCAAGUGUCUUCACUCAGAGCUGAGGAUGGCUCAAACCACCAAAACACCUUGAUGAGGAGGAAGAGUUCCCAAAAGGAGACAAAGAAUGGUGGCUGCGGCUCAAGGCUCUCCCACUCUAUCUUCUACUGGUCUUCCUCUGAAUUUAUGGAACACAUCUCUACCUCAAGCCCAGGAGGUCCCAUCUUCUUUCCUCUGCAGACUCACCUGACUCACCCUCCAAUUACUUUUACCACUGGAACAACCACAAGCUGCGCUUCAGGAGCAGGACUUAGCAACUCCCCAGCAGAGCGGCCCAGGGCCCCUAUGCGGACAGUUUUCUGCCGAUCUUUACCCCUGCCCGGCGUGAAGGCCGUUUUCUGGUCUCUUGCCUCCUCUUCGUGCCCACGCCUCUCCCAGGACUCUUGCGGCUCCCAACCCGGCGUUUCCAUCCCGAGUGCUCCCACCCAGGCCUCGCUUCCAGCUGCCUCACAACGAUCCUCUGAAACUCACAGAGCGAGCAUCCAUUCCCUGCGAAACUGCUCCCGUUCGGCGCCUCGGUUCUGCUGGAGACGUGGGCUGCGCUACUCCCUGCCCUGGCAGCCCAGUGGGCAUGAUUCACUCCUGUUUGCUUAAUUAGUUAAAUCAAAUUAAAACGUGUUUGGGGC